rnacentral:rRNA from 1 species
AUACGUAGGGGGCGAGCGUUGUCCGGAAUGAUUGGGCGUAAAGGGCGCGUAGGCGGCCCGGUAAGUCUGGAGUGAAAGUCCUGUUUUUAAGAUGGGAAUUGCUUUGGAUACUGUCGGGCUUGAGUGCAGGAGAGGUAAGUGGAAUUCCCCGUGUAGCGGUGAAAUGCGUAGAGAUUGGGAGGAACACCAGUGGCGAAGGCGACUUACUGGACUGUAACUGACGCUGAGGCGCGAAAGUGUGGGGAGCAAACAGGAUUAGAUACCCUGGUAGUCCACACUGUAAACGAUGAAUGCUAGGUGUAGGGGGGUAUCGACCCCUUCUGUGCCGCAGUCAACACAAUAAGCAUUCCGCCUGGGGAGUACGGCCGCAAGGUUGAAACUCAAAUGAAUUGACGGGG